GCGGAAGUGGCGGAAUUGGCAGACGCGCAGGUCUCAGGAACCUGUCGGGGCAACUCGGUGAGGGUUCAAGUCCCUCCUUCCGCACCA
rnacentral:tRNA from 2 species